AAAAGGCAUGUAGUUGAGUUACGUUUUGUGAAAUUCUUCGCACAACGUAAAAGAUAAUCUAUACCUCUCACGUACGUAUAACGCUCGGGGAACUUGAAAAUCGAAUAUUUAAUGGCACAUGGCAUAUGAAAAUUUCAACAAAUCGGUGGCUUGCAUGAAUUAUUUCUUAAUUAAUAGAGAAACUACCUGUGUAUGAUUUUGUUUUAAUGUGUGAGAUGAUAUUUAAGAGAGGCUUGUUCUAUCAAUGUUCCAUCCUGGUAAUCUUUUAUUUUAUUUUCGGUCUGGCAACACGUACAAACUGCUGUAUAUAUAGGAUCUUCCUUAUAUCAAAAUUAAGUGCAAUAUUUUGUUUUAAAUAUGAGGGAUGGUUUCUGGAAAAAAUCUACGUCAUAGUGAAUGUCAGUAUUGAUCAUUAUCACAUAAGCCGUUUCUAUGUCAAACUUUGUUCAACGGUGAUGGCCAUCUUAAAUUUAGAUUGGCAACAAAAGCUAAACGUGGUGUUUGAUUUGGAUCAUUUCCACAAAAUUUUAAAUCAAUAAGUUCCAAAACUUCAAAGAAGAUUCUUCCAAUUUCAUAUGAUCCGAACACCAAGUUUUUGCCCUUGCAGCCGGCAUUUCCAACUUAUGAUCCGCAAAUUAAACUUUGUAAUUAAAGUUUGAGGAUUACUGCAGGAAAAGUUACAGACGUUGUACGAAGCACAAUGACAAUAACUCGUAUACUUUUUUUUUUUUUAAAGUUCUGCUAAGUAACUGACAGAAAAUAUAAUAGGUACACUGAGAAAGUAGAGGCGGAUUCCGGAUUUUUGAAAGGAUGUGUAAUUCCCGAAAUUUGUCAUGAUAUUUAUUGUCCAACGGAGCGAGGCGGAAUUUGUUUUGGACGAUUUUGAGCUAAAUUUUAUGAUAUAUUUUCCUAUCAUAAAGGCGUACUUCUCUUAUGUAAUUUUAAUUCUUUAUUUGAAAUGAUUUCUGCCUAGACUCCCGAGGCAUAGAUAAAUACUGGUACGUAAAUAAAAAUAGGACACAAAAUACCUAGGAAUCACCUAGGUUUAAAAAAAAAAAAAAAAAAUCAAGGACGUAUAACUAACAAAACAAAAAAAAAACAAUGUAGAAAAACGGGAAUAAAGUCCACAAGUUUUUCAAACUUCUAAUUUUUACUUUUUAAUUCCAAUCUUUAAUAAAAUUUAAUAGUAUAUAUGAAAAGUUGAUCUUAUAGUUUUAUUAGCCACAAAAGGACAUUUUCUGUCUUUGAUCUAACAUGUGACUCACAUGUCCAUAUAUAGCCAUGCACACUUUUCGAAAACCCACCCCUAAUGAUGUCACAUAACUUUCAGGAUCGGAAUCGAUUGAUGAAAAUGUUAUGCAAAAAUGCUGAUCAAUAUUUUUUCAUAGUCAUCAGAAAUAUAUUUUUCAAAUUCAUUUCAAGUUGAGUGAUCGCCAGUUUAAUAUAAAAGUUUAGGUAAAAGCAGCAUAAUAUGCCAUACAUUUCGUUUCGAUUUCGAUCCUACAUGGUUUCACCUGUCCUAUCAAACCGGAACUAGUUUUAUUCUCUUUUUCUUUCAAGAUGGCUAUGUCAGGAGUUGGACUCGGUGAUAGCGUUGUAACCACAUAUGACACCAAACUGAAAACGAAGCACUUAUUAGACGCUUUGGUUCUGAAAAUAAAUAAGGAAGAAAAGAGGCAAAUUGUUACAGAACAGGAAUUUGAAUGCGGAACCUUACCCUUUGAAGAACUGAAGAAGUUUCUUCCGCCGAAAGAACCAAGAUACGUUUUAUACGAUUACAACUACACCACAGAAAAUGGACAAAAACAUAGUAAAAUUAUUCUUGUUUCGUGGAGUCCAGAUGAAGCUCCAAUGAAAGAAAAGAUGAUAUAUGCAUCCAGUAAAGACGCUGUAAAAAAGAAAUUACAGGCUAUAAAAAUAGAAGUGCAAGCAAAUGACCUGGGUGAUUUAGACGAGGCAGAUAUUGAAGCUAAAUUGAAAAAAAUUUAGGAACUAUAUUGACUGCAUUGUGUAUAAAACUUUCAAACAUAGCUCUUUAUGAAUCAUAACUUUACUGCUUAAUGAACAAACUUUGUGUCACUAACAAGUGGCAGUGCAGUUAUUCAAAUUGGUGCACUCAUUGACUGUUGCCAUGGAAAUGCCACUUCCUUUAAAGUACAUCAAGAAAUAUCAGCUUUCGUUUAUCCUGCUUCAGUUAGCCGAGUUUGUGUGGUGAAACAUUUGUGUCAGUUUGUUGGCAAGGAGUUUGACCCAGAGAACUUUAAAUCGUGAUGAAUAAAAUUUGUUUCGUUUAAAUUGUUUGUGAAACUGUGUUAAAAGGAAAAUUAAGACUUGAACAUUGAAUUAAUUAAUGUUUGUUAUUUAAAUAUUGUUUUUCCUGUACAGUCAUUUUUAUAUGUAUGUUGAAGAUAGGAUUGUCAGUUUAAGACAUAUCUGGUAUGAACAGGAAUACGUCCGCACAAGGGAAAAUUUGUCAAAUGAUGAGAUUGCCAUGAACAAUAAUAGAUAAAAACAGACAAAAACAGUGUAGGAAAUACACAAGAUUUUCUACAAAUUUUUGUAUAAAUGUCAAUUUACAAAUAUCAAAAGUAUAAUUAAACUAUAAAAUGCAGAACAAAGAAAAAAAUUUCCCUCCCUCUCUUUUGUAAAAUGUUUUCUAUACAUGCUAAUCUUUGCUGAUACAUUUAAUGAAUUUGAAUGUUUGUUUUUUGUUUUUAUUUUGCACAAAAGAAUCAUUUGAUAUAAUGUAACUUGUUUUUCUUUAUAAUUGUUGAUGACAUUUGUUAGUACUUUGGCAACAGUCAUUUUCUGUUUCUGUCAGAAAUAAAUUGUAGAACAGGUCUUUUUAACUGAAGACAAGUUCCAGUAUUCCAAUGUGAAUUAAAAGAAGAAAUAAUAAGCCUCCCACCUCAUAAACUUUGUUUUGAAUUUGUUAAGCUGUCCAGUGAUGGUUAUUUUGUAUGGCCUAAUGUGAAUUACUGUUUAUUUUCACAGAAUUAUAGUGCUUAAAUAUCAUAUCAUAAUGUCCACGACAUAUGUGGAUAGACUUUCAUAAACAGGGUUGUAUCAUUUCAAUAGCCAUUAUCUUAGAAAAGAGGGAUAGACUUCUGUUAUUUAUAGCAUUAAUCAUUUGCCACUGGACAUUAAGUAAACAUCGAUCGAUCAAAUAAUCUGUUAUUUAAAGGGUUUGCUUGAACAAAUCAUAACGGGGAAAAUUUAAUAAAACAAUGGUAUUGAAUUUUUAUUUUAUUAAAAAUAUUUAUGUAAAAAGACAAAGCAAAAUUGAAACGUUGAAUAUUUCUAAAAAAUCUCUUUGAAAUUAUCUCUACGUGUGUUUUAUGUAAAACAAAAGUUGUUCAAACAACAAUAAAUCAGUUAAUAUUAAAGCUAGUCAUUAUGAUAUGUGUAUUUUAUGUGAACAAUCAAAAUAUAUAAUGUCUGUGUUUGUUUGUUAGGACCCACUAAGCCAAAGGUAGUAUAGAAAUCUCUCUCUCUCUCUCUCACAUAGAAAUGACACAACCCUGUGAUGGAGCCUCUUGUUUGUAAUUUAUUUUUGAUAGAACGGAAGGAAGCAGGAUACUAUAAUCUGUUUAACAAAUAAUGGGACAAUUAAUAAUCAAUAAAACUUUUGAUACUUCUUA